GACGAACGCUGGCGGCGUGCUUAACACAUGCAAGUCGAACGGAAAGGCCCUGCUUUUGUGGGGUGCUCGAGUGGCGAACGGGUGAGUAACACGUGAGUAACCUGCCCUUGACUUUGGGAUAACUUCAGGAAACUGGGGCUAAUACCGGAUAGGAGCUCCUGCUGCAUGGUGGGGGUUGGAAAGUUUCGUCGGUUGGGGAUGGACUCGCGGCUUAUCAGCUUGUUGGUGGGGUAGUGGCUUACCAAGGCUUUGACGGGUAGCCGGCCUGGGAGGGUGACCGGCAACAUUGGGACUGAGAUACGGCCCAGACUCCUACGGGAGGCAGCAGUGGGGAAUAUUGCACAAUGGGCGGAAGCCUGAUGCAGCAACGCCGCGUGCGGGAUGACGGCCUUCGGGUUGUAAACCGCUUUCGCCUGUGACGAAGCGUGAGUGACGGUAAUGGGUAAAGAAGCACCGGCUAACUACGUG
rnacentral:rRNA from 1 species